AGUGGGAGAGGGUGAAGGAGAGAGAGAGUGCGAGAGAGCUAGAGAGAUUGUGCUGCUUGCAUGGCUGGUAACAACCAUUAUUUAAUUGCUCCUAUUAGACCAAGGAGCAUUCAUCACUAAUCUAUACAAGUCCUCUCAGAGGAAUGAAAAUAUCAAGUGUUCUUGACAAAGGUGGUUCUGGUGAAGCUAGAGUUCUGUCUGUCAUGUUAUUGCUUCUGUUUUGUUCUGUGAGGCAACCUGGUCUCAGGUCAAUUCCUACGAUUCGGGAUGUUUUUUUCUUUCUCUCCCAUUAGUAUGAUGAAUCCAGGCUGUGUGGAAAGGUAGUGUCUGGUGAGCUGGAGCUAGCUCCCCGACACCCACAGAGCUGUAGAGGAGAAACAAUGUUUUCAACAUGGAUCAGAGAGGAGGCUGGGGAAAGGACAGCACUCGCCUCCGGUGCAAAAACACCCACAGCGGCUACAGUACAAACACACGGAGAGAAGGACAGAAAGACACAAACACGACAGAGGGAGAAGGACCUGAGCCCUAGGACCAUGCCCCAGGACUACCUGACAUGAUGACUCCUUGCUGUCCCCAGUCCACCUGGCCAUGCUGCUGCUCCAGUUUCAACUGGUCUGGGCCCUAGGACCAUGUCCCAGGACUACCUGACAUGAUGACUCCUUGCUGUCCCCAGUCCACCUGGCCAUGCUGCUGCUCCAGUUUCAACUGUUCUGCCUUACUAUUAUUCAACCAUGCUGGUCAUUUAUGAACAUUUGAACAUCUUGGCCACGUUCUGUUAUAAUCUCCACCCGGCACAGCCAGAAGAGGACUGGCCACCCCACAUAUGCUCUCUCUAAUUCUCUCUUUCUUUCUCUCUCUCGGAGGACCUGAGCCCUAGGACCGUGCCCCAGGACUACCUGACAUGAUGACUCCUUGCUGUCCCCAGUCCACCUGACUGUGCUGCUGCUCCAGUUUCAACUGUUCUGCCUUAUUAUUAUUCGACCAUGCUGGUCAUUUAUGAACAUUUGAACAUCUUGGUCAUGUUCUGUUAUAAUCUCUACCCGGCACAGCCAAAAGAGGACUGGCCACCCCACAUAGUCUGGUUCCUCUCUAGGUUUCUUCCUAGGUUUUGGCCUUUCUAGGGAGUUUUUCCUAGCCACCGUGCUUUUACACCUGCAUUGUUUGCUGUUUGGGGUUUUAGGCUGGGUUUCUGUACAGCACUUUGAGAUAUCAGCUGAUGUACGAAGGGCUAUAUAAAUACAUUUGAUUUGAUUUGAUUUGAAUGAGUAGGCGUGUCCAAACAUUUGACUGGUACUGUGUGCAAAUAAGCUAUUUCUGUUUUGUAUUUUUAAUACAAAUGUUUGGACACACCUUUUGUGUGUAGACUUUGAGGAAUUGUUUUUAUUUAAUCCAUUUUAGAAUAAGGCUGUAAACAUAACAAAAUGUGGAAAAAGUCAAGGGGUCUGAAUACUUUCAGAUGGCACUAUAAGUAGGCUAUAUUUCAAACUUUUAAACCUUUUACUCAAGUAGUAUUUUACUGACUUUCUCUUUUUCUAUCAAUCUAUCUUUACUUUUACUACCACUGUAAAAGUAAAAGUAUAAAUAAUUUCAUAUUUCUUAUGUUAAGCAAACCAGAAAGCACCAUUUUAUUUUAUUUAGGGAUAGCCAGGGGCUAUUAGCCAGGGGCUAUUGGUUGCAGUUUCUAUGUUACAAUGAUAAAAAUGUAAUACAUCUUUAAUAAUGUUAAUCCAAAUGUGUUGUUACGUGUCAAGUUAUAUGGCUACAAUUUGAUUGUUUUAAGUGUAAUUUUAUGAUUAGUUUAAAAAAAGCUAUUGUUUAAAGACUUGAAAUAGCUAUUGUUUACUUUUUAUUUUUCUCAAUAAAUAUUGUCUAUUUGUUCGGCCUGAGGUCUACCACUCAGAUUAUAUUUUGGCCCACAAAAACUUUGAGCACCCCUGAUUUAGACAAACCCUCAAUGCUGCAAAUGCUAGGCUACAAGCAUGGGGAAAUAAUGUCUUGCCGCUUUUUUUCCAGGGGAGAUGAAGUUUAUGAAUGGCCUGGCUGGGCUUUGGCACAAUUUCAAUGGAGCUGUGAACCAGAAUUACUCGGGGAUCUGCUAUCAAUCAAUCAGCAUCCCAGAUCCAAAUAACCACUUUAGAUGACUGGCUAGAUUACCUGUUUAGCUGACAUGGGCUAAUUGAGUGACUGUCAGUGACUGACAGAACAAGUGGAAAACUGCUGAUGCACAAUACAAUUUUGAAAUUGCACCUUGUGUGUUAUACUUGCGUGUAGUCUGCGCGUAGUCUACAUAUCGGAAGAGGCAGCUUUCCUUCAGCCAAACAUUUUAAAUAUACAGGUAUCACAUAUGACACAGAACACAUCACAGGUACUCUGAUUUAAGGGGCAGUCUGCAGUUGCUCCAUCCAUUUUUGGACUUAUAAAUAAUAUAUACCAUUUGAUUCUUGAAAAUAACUUAUAUAUGCCUCAUUAACUUAAUUCAACUGUCAUAGCCUAUGAUAACCCAAAAUGUUAGCUUGUAUUAUUCCAAUGUUUGUAAACAAUGUUCAUUUAAACAAAUCAUUUAUAGCCUCAAAAUAUGGUUAAAACUUGAAUUUUAAAAGGGAUGCUCAGUCCAUGGAUGGUCAGUCCUUGCAUCCAUAACUCUGUCUGUGCAUUUGAGAGUGGUAACAUUUCUCCAGGCCCAUCUCUCAGCUUUUUACCAAAAACAGAGGCUGGGUGCUGCCUUGUUAUUGUUUCAACUGUAGAUUUACCCUUUAAUAUGUUUACAUCAUAUAAUUACAUAUUGAAUCCUAUAUAAAGAAAUGUAAUAGCAUCUGUUGUCACGUUCUGACCUUAGUUCCUUUGUUAUGUCUUUGUUUUAGUAUGGUCAGGGCGUGGGUUGGGGUGGGUAGUCUAUGUUCUUUUUUCUAUGUUGUGUUUAUGUGUUUGGCCUGGUAUGGUUCUCAAUCAGAGGCAGGUGUCGCUCGUUGUCUCUGAUUGAGAAUCAUACUUAGGUAGCCUUUUCCCACCUGUGUUUUGUGAGUGAUUAUUUUCUGUUGUGUGUCUGCACCUUUCAGGACUGUUUCGUUUUCGUUUCUGUCUUUCACGUUGUUAUUUUGUAUUUUCAGUGUUCAGUUGAUUCAUUAAAUAUUAACAUGGACACAUA